rnacentral:rRNA from 1 species
CCCCUAGAUGUUCUGGGCCGCACGCGCGCUACACUGAACAGUUCAACAAGUCUUAACCUUGGCCGAUAGGUCUGGGUAAUCUUUGAACGCUGUUCGUGAUUGGGAUAGACCUUUGCAAUUAUGGGUCUUCAACGAGGAAUUCCUAGUAAACGCAAGUCAUCAGCUUGCAUUGAUUACGUCCCUGCCCUUUGUACACACCGCCCGUCGCACCUACCGAUUGAAUGGUCCGGUGAAAUCUCGGGACGGCGGCUUGGUCGCUUGCGUCCGACUGCUGAAACUUGAUUAAACCAUAUCAUUUAGAGGAAGGUGAAGACGUAACA